rnacentral:rRNA from 1 species
UGCUGUUUCGCUGACGAGUGGCGGACGGGUGAGUAAUGUCUGGGAAACUGCCUGAUGGAGGGGGAUAACUACUGGAAACGGUAGCUAAUACCGCAUAACGUCGCAAGACCAAAGAGGGGGACCUUCGGGCCUCUUGCCAUCGGAUGUGCCCAGAUGGGAUUAGCUAGUAGGUGGGGUAACGGCUCACCUAGGCGACGAUCCCUAGCUGGUCUGAGAGGAUGACCAGCCACACUGGAACUGAGACACGGUCCAGACUCCUACGGGAGGCAGCAGUGGGGAAUAUUGCACAAUGGGCGCAAGCCUGAUGCAGCCAUGCCGCGUGUAUGAAGAAGGCCUUCGGGUUGUAAAGUACUUUCAGCGGGGAGGAAGGGAGUAAAGUUAAUACCUUUGCUCAUUGACGUUACCCGCAGAAGAAGCACCGGCUAACUCCGUGCCAGCAGCCGCGGUAAUACGUAGGUGGCAAGCGUUGUCCGGAUUUAUUGGGCGUAAAGCGAGCGCAGGCGGUUUCUUAAGUCUGAUGUGAAAGCCCCCGGCUCAACCGGGGAGGGUCAUUGGAAACUGGGAGACUUGAGUGCAGAAGAGGAGAGUGGAAUUCCAUGUGUAGCGGUGAAAUGCGUAGAUAUAUGGAGGAACACCAGUGGCGAAGGCGGCUCUCUGGUCUGUAACUGACGCUGAUGUGCGAAAGCGUGGGGAUCAAACA